ACAGCUGCUGAAUUUAGAAAACACCUGGAUGAACAGAUGUGGGAGAGAAGGAAACUUGACCAAAUGCAAAGAAAUUUGCAGGAGUUGAGAAAUGAAGUCCAUUCUCUUAAAAAUGAAAAUGCACGUCUGAAAGACAUUAUCAUCAAUCGUAAGUAUUCCUAAUUUUUAUAUUUAUUAGCAAGGUUUUUUCUGGAGAUGGAUAUUGCGGUGGCAGAGAAGUGUAAACUUAGAAAUGUUAUGGGCUGAAACACGUGUUUGGCAAAAUAUGUUGUUAGCUGGUGAGGUAGUGUGUGUGCUCAUAUAGCCGUUGAUAAGAUUCAAAUUAGAUUUAUAUUUAUUUGUCUCUUUCUGGAGGAAUUUGUAGAGGGUUAACAAAAGUCAUGGCCUAGAGAACAUACAGUUCAUGAGAAUAAAUGAUGCUUUUCUGCCUUCAACGGCUCAAGAAGGCAAUCGGCUCCAGAAAAAAACCCUGGGGAAUUAGAAUUUGGGAGAAAUUGGAGAAAGAAAAUUGCGUUCACAACCAGGUUUCCUAUGCAGAGCCUUAUCAAUGGGCUUUGGAGGGUUUUAGCUUGAGUUCACACCUGCAGGAAAUGUCUUUCGAAGAGUAAGGGCACUGAGUUGCUGGGUGCUAUUUUGAUCUAGUGAUUGUAAUUAUAGUUUUUUCUUUAUAUAACCUCUUUCUAGAAAUCCCUCAAAUGAAAAGUGACAUCGCCAUUAUUGCUCAAAAGGUAAGUUCCUCUGAUUUUCAUUGCUUUUUAAAAUUGUUUCUCAAGCAGAACUGGAGAGACUUGUGAUGUUGGGCUGAUUGAUAGUGUUUACACUUUAAUUUAUUUAAGAGAAUAACUAUAUUUUUCUUCUAUGAAGAAGACUGGAAGGACUCCUGUGGAGGAUCUAGAUUCCUCCUUCUCGACUUUUGGAGAAAUGCAACCGACUCCAGAGAGGAGACAGAGCCCAGAGGACACCGAGCCCUUUAAAGAGAGUCCCAUGGUGACUGAGCGCUUUCGAGAGACACCACAGGUGUGUGUAACCCUUUUAUACCUCAGAUUUUACUUAAGGCUCCAACUGAGCUAUAGGGAUUUUUAUGUUGGGAUAGUUAGUGGUAAUAUGUAAUUUACUUGCCCCAUAUUUAUAAAAUUGUUGAAGAGUUUAACAAUGUUUUUCUUCUCUAACAAGACUGCAGCAACAGCUGAGACCUCAGCGAAAACACAGGUGAAUAACAUAUUAUGUAGUAAGGAUGGGUAUAAACUGUGUGCUUUGUAGGAGCCAAUUAGUGUUAUAAGUGACAAUCAUCCUCUCCUCCUGCCCCCCUUCACUCCUCUCCACCCACUGUCUUUUCUCCUUCCCUACUCUCCAUCCAACCUCCUCCUUUCCCCCCACCCUGUCCUCCUCCUUCUCUCCUUUAAUAACGUUUUGGGCAGUGAUUAAUUUGUUUCAUUUCUUUAUCAUUCAUCUGCAUUUAUACAUAUCAUUAAUCUGCAUUUAUACAUAAAAACCUAUUAACUAUUGGGAAGCUAAGCAUAAGAAUCAAUAUGAAACAUGAAAAAGUUUCUAAAAAUUGCCAAUAAAUGUAUAUUGUGAUGUGAAAUUAUUUUUCAGAUGGAAGUUAUAAAGGGCUCUGGGGUGUUUUGCCAGGCAGAAGCGUGGAAAGCAGCCCGCCUUGCCCCCUCUGCUACUGCCAUGGUGCGGAAUCUCCUGCUGGGCACCUUUGAUUUGGAGACUUUGCUGAAAAGCAACCUGAAUGGUACAAAACAACAUGUUCCUAAUCUCUUCUGUCCUUGAAAAAAAAAAACAGUCAUAUUCUGUGGAAUAAAUUAUGUGUGUGCGGGCAUACCAUCGCUUUUUUACUUGGCAUUUUUGUAUUUCCUUGCACCUCAAGAAAACAUGAUGUGUAUAUAAAAAAAACUCUUGCUUUCUCCACCUUCAUUUUACACCCCUUUCAUAAUAAUUUUGAAAUAUUACUUUAAGGUGGGAAGCCAACCAGAGGGGAUGGGGAGCAGCUGGUCGCACUUGACCAAAUUAAAAAGGCAGCCAUUAUUGGUGAGUAAAUGCAUAAUGCAUUGAGAAGGGAAAACCAAACUUUUAAGACUUUAUAAGUUCACCACUUUAACCAUAGCCUACUUGUAUCAAUAUUUAUUAGGCAUCAAUGGAGACUGCAUAAAGUAGGGCACCAAUUAUUGUUACUGUAUCUGCUUGGCACCUUUAAUACUAAUUCAUCGCUUUCUGACUUCUUGAUCCUACCUUUCCUCUUCUAAAGCCACAUUGCUGGGGUAUUGCGCUGUAAGGUGUGUAGUCCUCUAUUUUGUAGAACAUAUAGUGUUGCAAAUAACCUCAUGGCAUAUUGUUGUCGUCUGAAGUGUUCUUAAAUAAUCAUAUUCACCCCUCCUUCACCUUAAUCCCCUCUGUCCUGUGUUUGUGCCUUAUUUUGUCUAUACCGGUUAUUGAUUUGCUUGAUUUUAUUGCUUGAUCUUAUUGCUCUUCGAGUAAACCUAGCAUGGCAGCUCGCGGGUGGAAUGUGUGUGUGAAUGGGUCAAUGGGAGGACAUUGUAAUGUAUUUUGGGGGUGCAGGAAAAUGCUAUAAAAGUGCAGCCCAUUGACAACUAGAUAUGUUUACAUGUGCAAAGUUUCUUACAUCAGAUAAAAUAUUUGAGGGAUUAGAAUAUCUGAAUCUGUUUACAUGGAAACAAAUAAUCUAAUCAUGACGUGCAUAAACAUGCACCAAGCCUUAUUCAGAAUAAUAGCAUUUUGACAUCCGCAGAGCGGUCUUAAUUUCCCUAAAACAACUGCAGAAGUUGUACUUCACCUGUGUUUUAAGCUAAACAAAAAACUCGGGAGUGGCAACAUUUUUCCUAUCCAUGAAUUUUCUCUGCUUUGGAUGCACAUGAUUGACUGUGUGACUGUUAACAAUGCAGUUCCCAUGACGGACGUGUGCAUAUGAAAGAACAAUGCCCCCCCCAAAAAAGGGGGGGUGAUGUUUCCAAUCAGAAUUUCUUUCAGAUUUAGCAGAAUCCAAUCAGAAUCUUCCAAUUGACGUGUUUACAUGACACAUUUUUUAUUAUGGUCAGCCCUUUAUCCAAAAUAUGUCUCCAGUCGCAGCUGUACUGUAAGCACUUUGGGUUCCUGAUGAAGCACUAUAUUAUUAUUAUACUGUCUAAUUAUUUUUGUCUUCUCUAGAUGCUACAUUGAAGAAGUGGCCGGCAGCCAGCCGAGGGCAGAUAGGCACAUCUAUCAAUUCAAAGCUCACGGAGCUGAGAAGAUCAACAAGAUAAAU
rnacentral:lncRNA from 1 species